GGGGAAUAUUGCACAAUGGGCGAAAGCCUGAUGCAGCGACGCCGCGUGAGGGAUGACGGCCUUCGGGUUGUAAACCUCUUUCAGCAGGGAAGAAGCGAAAGUGACGGUACCUGCAGAAGAAGCACCGGCUAACUACGUGCCAGCAGCCGCGGUAAUACGUAGGGUGCGAGCGUUGUCCGGAUUUAUUGGGCGUAAAGAGCUUGUAGGCGGUUUGUCGCGUCUGCUGUGAAAAUCCGGGGCUCAACCCCGGACUUGCAGUGGGUACGGGCAGACUAGAGUGUGGUAGGGGAGACUGGAAUUCCUGGUGUAGCGGUGAAAUGCGCAGAUAUCAGGAGGAACACCGAUGGCGAAGGCAGGUCUCUGGGCCACUACUGACGCUGAGAAGCGAAAGCAUGGGGAGCGAAC
rnacentral:rRNA from 1 species